GGAAGAGGAGAGCUGCCAGGACACCGCUCCAUUAUCCAGAAAGCUUCCUCAGUGCCGUGGUACUCCUGUAUGAUGCCAGGGUUCAAACUCAGGGUUCUGUGCGUGACAAGAGUGCACACCCUAGUGGCCAUCAGGUUCCAGAUGCUACCAUGAUGCCAACAGGACUUCCCAAGGCCGACGACCCCACCAAUGUGUCCUGGAGCCCCGCCUCCCCAGACCCCUGCCCCACUAGGGAAAGAGAGAGACAGGCUGGGAGUAUGGAUUGAUCUGCCAACGCCCAUGUUCGAUGGGGAAGCAAUUACAGAAGCCAGACCUUCCACCUUCUGCACCCCAUAAUGUCCCUGGGUCCAUACUCCCAGAGGGUUAAAGAAUAGGAAAGCUGGGGGCUGGGCGGUAGCGCAGCAGGUUAAGUGCAUGUAGUGCCAAGCGCAAGAACCUGCAUAAGGAUCCCAGUUUGAGCCCCCCGGCUCCCCACCUGCAGAGGGGUUGCUUCACGGGCGGUAAAGCAGGUCUGCAGGUGUCUUUUUCUCCCCCUCUCUGUCUUCCCCUCCUCUCUCCAUUUCUCUUUGUCCUAUCCAACAACAAUGACAGCAAUAGCAACAAUAACAAUAAACAGCAAGGGCAACAAAAGGGAAAAAAGUGGAUUUGUAGUGCAGGCACUGAGCCACAGCUAUAACCCUGGAGGCAAAAAAAAAAAAAAAAAGAAUAGGAAAGCUAUCAGGGGAGGGGAUGGGAUAUGGAGUUCUGGUGGUGGGAAUUGUGUGGAAUUGUACCCCUCUUAUUUUAUGGUUUUGUCAGUGUUUCCAUUUUAUAAAUAAAAA